rnacentral:rRNA from 1 species
AAGGGCACCACAAGAACGCGUGGAGCAUGUGGCUUAAUUUGACUCAACGCGGGAAAUCUUACCGGGUCCGGACACACUGAGGAUUGACAGGUGUUUGUGGUUAACUCUCUUCUGAGUGUUUUCCACUAUAAAUAUGCUAGUCCUUUCAUGAUUGUGUGAUAGGUGGUGCAUGGCCGUUCUUAGUUCGUGGAGUGAUCUGUCUGCUUAAUUGCGUUUCACAAAGAACUUUCUAACUUUUACCUGUUGCGCGGCAUUGUGUCCUUUAAUUAGGUACCGAUGUCUGUGCACGGUAGAGAAAAAGUUCUGAAGGCAACGAACGUGACCGCAUCCUCUUGUUGCCUCUUUUGAUUUAUUCAACAUGAGCAUUCUAUCUAUCUAGAUAGGUGUUCUGCAUAGAGUGCGAACUAGAGGGACCGCUGACGACUUUUAAAACAGAGGAAGGUUGCGGCAAUAACAGGUCUGUGAUGCCCUUAGAUGUUCCGGGCUGCACACGUGCUACAAUGAUUAUUGCAGUGAGCAUAUAAUUUUAUAAGGUUCUGUGCUUGUGUUUGGUAGCUUUUGUUGCCAUACACAGUACGGCCAUUGACCGGCUUCGAAAGUAGGCCGGUAAUCAAUUCGAAGUAAUGAUUUCCUUUCGCACAUACUUAUAUCUCUUGC